rnacentral:sRNA from 1 species
AUGGAGGAAAUGAUUCGAAAGUGGGGAAGCCAGGCCUUGUUGAAAUACCUCCAUAUUAAUGAUUGUCAACCACAACCUUGUCGAAACAAUGGAACUUGUACAGACCUGGUGAACGACUACCAAUGUGAUUGUGUUGCAGGAUUUAAUGGAACAAAUUGUGAAAACAAUAGUGUGUUGGCAGUAGCAGUAGAUUCAUCGCCUUUUGUGGAGGAAGAAAAUGGGCUGAUAGCCUGCAGCUAUAUUUCACACCGCAAUGCAUCUAUCAACAAUCUUCAUUUUAACUGGACAAAGAAUGGACUUGUGAUAUCUAACUCAAAUUCUCACGUGAUUCAUUCAACGUGCCAUAUGAAUUUAUCCUGCGUGUCCACUCUUACCAUAACAAAGGUUGACAUUUUGACAGAAGGAGACGGUGUUGCGUUCACGGCUGUUAAGUAUGAUAACAUUGGCUCCGAGUUCCUCUCUGGAAAUGAAACAAGCGGCAUACGAGGGAUGUGUGCGUUACUGCCCACGCUUGGAUUAACGUGGGUUUUUGGAGUUUUGUCUCUUGGAGGAGCCGCCGUCGUAUUUCAGUAUUUAUUUGCUAUAUUUAAUUCUCUUCAGAGGGUUUUAGAAAUGAAUCAACAGGAUUUGCGAUACCAAGAAUAGAUUCAUCGAUAUGUUGCAAACUGCAAAAGCUAAAGAGUUUUAUGAUAGUUUUUACAAUUUGUGCGUAUUUAACAAACUCAUUUAUAUUUCAUAGGAUGUUGGACAACAUAGACCUUUCAAGUCAAGUUGACGAACUCUUGCGUGAAGUGUUAACUCUUAAAUAUUUUUACGGAGCCAACCAAAUCAUAUCACUAAAUUAUGUUUUUCGAAUAACUCGAGUAAAACAAUGGACUUGAUAAAGACUUCUUUAAAAAGAGAAAUUAAAAAUAACGGUAUCACAAGUUUUUUUUAGUAUUCUUUUUAAAUGAAUACAAGAAAAAAAAAGAGAUUUAAUAAUGCC